rnacentral:lncRNA from 1 species
CAUGUGCCUAUCGUCCCAGCUACUCAGGAGGCUGAAGUGGGAGGAUUAUUUGCGCCCAGAAAUUUGAGGCCACAGUGUGGUAUAUCAUCUGUCAAUAGCCACUGCACUACAAACUGGGCAUCCUAGCAAGAACCUGUAUCUCCAAAAAAAAAAAACUUGAAAAGUGAUUAAGACUAUCCACGUGUUUUUUCUUACUGUUUCUGUCUACUUCCUAAUCUGCAGAUCUGCAAAUGGAAUAAAUGCAAAUGGGAUAAAUGCAAAAUGGAAUAAAUGUCUGGCAGAAGUCAGAAUCUGGAAUUUUUACCAAUUUUGUCCAAUUUAAUUUUACAGUCAACUUGAUCAGCUACUGAGGUGUGUUGGAAGUCAUAGCCACAAUAUUUUGCAGCUCCUCCCAUCAAGGUAGUGUUUGUUUUCCCAGCCCUAGUAUUUGAGCUGGCCUUGUGCCUUGCUUUAACCAAUAAAAUGAGCAGAUGUGUUUCUGGGCUGGUUCUGAGACCUUAAGAGACCUUCUGCUUCAGUCUCUUGGGGUCCUGCUGGCAUGUAAAGAAGCUCAGGCUAAGCCAUGGACGGAUGAGAGACCACGUGGGGAGAUUCCCAACAAGUCCCAACCCACAUCACAUGGAAGAAAGUCAUACAGCAGCGCCCUCAUGCAGAAUGGUGGACCCAGAUGCACAUAACUUGCAAAGAAAUUGUCUGAAAGGAGGUGGCCGUCAGUCAGAGUGAAGAAGCUACUUUCAUUGUAAAGGAGAAAAUAUAUCACAGGCCUCUCUCCCCAACAAAUGAUUUGAGCUCUUGAAGGUAGCAAUUCUUUAGACCAGAAACUCAGGAAACUUGAAGUCAAGAUGUUGUUAUAUUUGUGGAAAUGAGUUGAUGACAUAAAUUAAAUGUUUGUUAGUUUGUUGAUUGUUAACUCUCCACGAGGACAGGGAUUUAGUUAUCACUUGUCCCCAGAAUGUAGACAGACACUCGUUGGAACAUACUAGUGCUCAAUAAAUAUUUACUGAAGAAAUGAAUGAAUCCAAGUGCUUUAUUCCAAGUAUAAUCUUCACACAUUUAAUGUCAUUACUGAUGAAAGUUAAGACAAUUAGCCUACUUUUUAGUGUAAUAGAAAUAGAGCUCAACAUAGCUAUGUAAUAUAAUGUAUACCAUUAAAUUCCAAAAAGGAAAACAAUCUAAAAUGUAACUCAUUUUUCCAAAAACGUGAAGAAAUCUCGAGGAUUCCACUGGGAAAUUACCUUUAAAAAAAAACAAAAACAAAAACAAAAA